rnacentral:tRNA from 1 species
GAGGUUGUGGCUCAGUGGUAGAGCGCUCACCUAGCAUGCGUGAGGUAGUUAGUGGGUUUGUUCCCCAGCACUACA